ACGGGUUCCACGAGUGCUCCUUAUGUUAACGUGUUGAUGCCCACGUAUCUCGUACUCUCAAUUCUUUUUUAAUCUUUAUCUUCCUCAGGAGGAGGCCCUCUGAUUGCUUUACAACUAAGGGAUACGGAAGUCUGCAUGAGGCCAUAGACGAAGUGGUUUCUCUUGCUUAGGAGGGUCGGGCUUCCUUGAUAAUGCGAGUUCUUCCCACGGUAACUGAUACAAAGAUUUCAUACUUCUCACUAAACUAAUACAGUCUGACUCCACAGUCAGUCUUUGGCCCGUGGGGAGCGAAAUUUCGGAGUUUCCACCAUGGUGGGUUUCUGCUUGCUCGGGCGGAGGAGACGAGGACAUUCUUUGCGAAGCCAUUGAUCAAAAUCCCAAAGGAGUCGCGACGCACGCAGGCAAUUGAUCCUUCGUACGAUCCAGUUUGAUACUGAUUUUCUAGUCCAAGUUGCGCCAUUUGCUGAAGUUUGAUAUUCAGAGAUCUAGAUAUUUAGUACAGGAUCAUCCCACACUGCCCUUGUCCACUUGCAGAGAAGGAAUAUAUGCUCCGGGGUUUCGGCAUGCACUCAGCAAAUUGGGCAGACAGGAUCAGCCACAAUCUUCCUUCUGUACAAGUUUUCCUUUGUCGGGAGAGCAUUUCAGCAUAAAAUCGGAAUAAAGUUUCUGAUUUUGUAAGGGAGUUUUCAUGCUCCAAAUUUUGUUCCAGAAUUUGUUUGGAGUUUGAUAGGAAGAGGAGACCUGAUCUCUAUUUGUUUUGCUAUAGCUUUUCGCGAUAGUGUUGUCGCCACUCUUUACAGUGUACCCCCCUUCUCUCGUUCCAAUCUAGACUAGCUUGUCUUUGUUCAUCCGUGGUCUGGUCUGAUAUGGACUGUGAGGAUCUCACUCGCUACCUAUUCAUCAAACAAUCUUCGCAAGGUUGGUUCUUUUCA